UACAGAGGUCCCAAGCGUUGUUCGGAUUCACUGGGCGUAAAGGGUGCGUAGGUGGUGGGGUAAGUCUGAUGUGAAAUCUCCGAGCUUAACUCGGAAAUGGCAUCGGAUACUAUUCUGCUAGAGGGCUGGAGAGGAGACUGGAAUUCUCGGUGUAGCAGUGAAAUGCGUAGAUAUCGAGAGGAACACCCGUGGCGAAGGCAAGUCUCUGGACAGCACCUGACACUGAGGCACGAAAGCUAGGGGAGCAAACAGG
rnacentral:rRNA from 1 species